GACGAACGCUGGCGGCGUGCCUAACACAUGCAAGUCGAGCGAGGAGAUUCCCUUCGGGGAUGAACCUAGCGGCGGACGGGUGAGUAACACGUGGGCAACCUGCCUUAUAGAGGGGAAUAGCCUUCCGAAAGGAAGAUUAAUACCGCAUAACAUUACAUUUUCGCAUGAAGAAGUAAUUAAAGGAGUAAUCCGCUAUAAGAUGGGCCCGCGGCGCAUUAGCUAGUUGGUGAGGUAACGGCUCACCAAGGCGACGAUGCGUAGCCGACCUGAGAGGGUGAUCGGCCACAUUGGGACUGAGACACGGCCCAGACUCCUACGGGAGGCAGCAGUGGGGAAUAUUGCACAAUGGGGGAAACCCUGAUGCAGCAACGCCGCGUGAGUGAUGAAGGUCUUCGGAUCGUAAAGCUCUGUCUUCAGGGACGAUAAUGACGGUACCUGAGGAGGAAGCCACGGCUAACUACGUGCCAGCAGCCGCGGUAAUACGUAGGUGGCGAGCGUUGUCCGGAUUUACUGGGCGUAAAGGGAGCGUAGGCGGAUUUUUAAGUGAGAUGUGAAAUACCCGGGCUCAACUUGGGUGCUGCAUUUCAAACUGGAAGUCUAGAGUGCAGGAGAGGAGAGUGGAAUUCCUAGUGUAGCGGUGAAAUGCGUAGAGAUUAGAAAGAACACCAGUGGCGAAGGCGACUCUCUGGACUGUAACUGACGCUGAGGCUCGAAAGCGUGGGGAGCAAACAGGGAUUAGAUACCCUGGGUGGUCCACGCCGUAAACGAUGAAUACUAGGUGAGGGGGUUGUCAUGACUUCUGUGCCGCCGCAAACGCAUUAAGUAUUCCGCCUGGGGAGUACGGUCGCAAGAUUAAAACUCAAAGGAAUUGACGGGGGCCCGCACAAGCAGCGGAGCAUGUGGUUUAAUUCGAAGCAACGCGAAGAACCUUACCUAGACUUGACAUCUCCUGAAUUACUCUUAAUCGAGGAAGUCCCUUCGGGGACAGGAAGACAGGUGGUGCAUGGUUGUCGUCAGCUCGUGUCGUGAGAUGUUGGGUUAAGUCCCGCAACGAGCGCAACCCUUAUUGUUAGUUGCUACCAUUAAGUUGAGCACUCUAGCAAGACUGCCCGGGUUAACCGGGAGGAAGGUGGGGAUGACGUCAAAUCAUCAUGCCCCUUAUGUCUAGGGCUACACACGUGCUACAAUGGCAAGUACAAAAAGAUGCAAUACCGCAAGGUGGAGCUAAACUUAAAAACUUGUCUCAGUUCGGAUUGUAGGCUGAAACUCGCCUACAUGAAGCUGGAGUUGCUAGUAAUCGCGAAUCAGAAUGUCGCGGUGAAUACGUUCCCGGGCCUUGUACACACCGCCCGUCACACCAUGAGAGUUGGCAAUACCCAAAGUUCGUGAGCUAACGCGUAAGGGAGGCAGCGACCUAAGGUAGGGU
rnacentral:rRNA from 1 species